rnacentral:rRNA from 1 species
AUGCCAACCCAUGUUCAUCCUUUGAAGAAGUUAGAUAAAGAGAAAAGUUGGGAGCUUUUUAGUAGAAAAGCUUUACCAUCAUAUAAAAGGUCUAUUAUAGCUGGUGUUGAUGAGUUUGAAAAACUUGGAAGAAAGCUUGCAAAGAAAUGUGAUGGAUUGCCACUUGCACUUUCAGUUUUGGGGGGUUAUCUAUCAAAAAAUCUGAAUAAACAAGCAUGGACUGAUAUACUCUCAGAUUGGCCAUCAACCAAAGAUGGACAGAUGAUGCGAAAUAUACUAGCUCGCAGUUAUAAGGACCUACCAAAUCAUUAUUUAUGUUCAUGUUUACUCUAUGUUGCUGCUUUUCCUGAGGAUUACAAAAUAGCUGUGCCGGACCUUAUCGAAUUAUGGAUAUCAGAAAGCUUGAUUCCACACAUACCAAAUCAUAAACUAGAAGAAAUAGCGCGUAACUAUGUAACCGAGUUGGCCCAGAGAAGCUUGGUAGAAGUUGUUGAAAGAAGUAAGUUACAUGGAUGGAUUCUAACAAUAAGGAUUCAUGAUAUUCUACGUGACUGGUGCAUAGAAGAAGCAAGGAAAGAUGGUUUUCUUGACGCCAUCAGCAAUACUACAGGCCAUUGUAGUCCAUCAUCAUCUGAUAACAUGGUAUCUUAUCGUUAUUACUUUCAAAGUUUAAGUGAGGAGAUUUUACCCGCAACACGUAAUGUCCGGACUUUUCUUGGAUUUAGAGACUCAUCAGUGUCCCUUUCUAAGCUAACAUUCCUGAGAGUUCUUCACAUUGAAGACUCGAUCCUGGAAGAUUUCUCUAGCGCAAUUGGUGAGUGCAUUCACCUAAGAUAUCUUAGGUUGAGACGGUGUGGACAUAUGAUGCUCCCUUCUUCAAUUGGGAAACUCCUUUACCUGCAGACUAUAGAUCUCAGAGACACAGAAUUGGACUCAGCAGUACCAAAAUCUCUAUGGGAUAUCCCUACUCUAAGGCAUGUUUACCUUGAAGAUAAGUUUUGUCCACCACCACCUGCAAGGAGUGUGCGUUUGCAAUGCAAUGGGCUCCAGACCUUUGUGUUGAAUCCUUCAACUUUUGGCACCAAAUACUGCUACCAUGACAUGGUGAUUUUCUUGGGCCAGAUGAAUCAACUAACAACUUUGUACUUGCGAAUGCGCCCCAUACCCUCAGAGGUGAUUAACAUAUUUGCAAACAUGCCUCACUUGGUUGAUAUUUAUCUCAGUGAAUUUGGUCUGCUCAAUAAGCUACCUACUCAGUUUCCACAAAGUGUAAGGUGCCUUGUUCUGUAUGCUAAUGUCAUUAAACAAGACCCGAUGCCAAUCCUGGAGAAACUUCCUUGUCUUGUCAUGUUGAAGUUGUGGGGUUAUGAAGGCCAAACUAUGUCCUGCUCUGCCCAAGGGUUUCCUCGCUUGCAAGAGUUAGAACUUGGUAUUUUUUCCACUAAUGAGUGGAGCAUGGAGGAAGGGACGAUGCCGAAACUCUCCAGCAUGGCACUUCGUGUGUGCAUGAUGAUGAGCAGGCUUCCCGAGGGGUUGCAGCAACUUCCGUCCCUCAGGCACCUAUGGCUGUUCUAUAUGCCCCAGAUUUCCGAAGAUGACAUCACACUAAAGGAGCUGUUGCGGAAAGGAUGUGAGGUGAAAGUGAAAUGUUAA